CCUACGGGAGGCAGCAGUGGGGAAUAUUGCACAAUGGGGGAAACUCUGAUGCAGCUACGCCGCGUGAGUGAAGAAGUAUUUCGGUACGGAAAGCUAUAUCAGCAUGGAAGAAAAUGAAGGUAUCUGACUCAGAAGCCCCGGCUAAUUACGUGCCAGCAGCCGCGGUAAGCCUGAGGGGGCCAGCGUUAUACGGAUUUACUGGAGGUAAAGGGAAGGUAGUCGGCAGCUCAAGUCUGGAGUGAAAUACCAAGUCUUAACCAUAGAACUGCUUUUGAAACCGGGCGUGUGUAGUGCAGGAGAGGUAAGCGAAAUUCCUAGUGUAGCGGUGAAAUGCGUAGAUAUUAGGAGGAACACCAGUGGCGAAGGCGGCUUACUGGACUGUAACUGACGUUGAGGCUCGAAAGCGUGGGGAGCAAACAGGAUUAGAUACCCGUGUAGUC
rnacentral:rRNA from 1 species